rnacentral:rRNA from 1 species
UAGAGUUUGAUCAUGGCUCAGAUUGAACGCUGGCGGUAUGCUUAACACAUGCAAGUCGAACGGAAACGAUACUAGCUUGCUAGUAGGCGUCGAGUGGCGGACGGGUGAGUAACGCGUAGGAAUCUACCUAAUAGUGGGGGAUAGCCCGGAGAAAUCCGGAUUAAUACCGCAUAAUCUCUAUGGAGUAAAGGGGCCCUCUUCUUGAAAGGUUUCGCUAUCAGAUGAGCCUGCGUAAGAUUAGCUAGUUGGUGAGGUAAAAGCUCAUNAAGGCGACGAUNUUUAGCUGGUCUGAGAGGAUGAUCAGCCACACUGGGACUGAGACACGGCCCAGACUCCUACGGGAGGCAGCAGUGGGGAAUAUUGGACAAUGGGGGCAACCCUGAUCCGGCAAUACCGCGUGUGUGAAGAAGGCCGUAGGGUUG